CAGGGAAGUCAGAACGAAGCCAAAGUCAAUAACCAAAGAAACACGACCAGGAACACACUCUCGGAUAACCAGCAAAGGGAAACCACGAAAGGGCAAUGAGUAGAAGAAAUCAGUGAGUUUUAAUAUCCCUCUUGUGAAUCCGAUUGGGCGUAUCUGGCCUUUGACCCCAAAACGUGCGCGCGCGUCCUCUGCGUGACGUCCGGGAUGUCGCAAAAGCCCGGUUUUAUGGCAUAGCACUUCUCUUACCCCUGGAAAGGUGAUUAUUGUUGUGCUUAGCAC